rnacentral:tRNA from 1 species
UGCGGGGUGGAGCAGUUUGGUAGCUCGUCGGGCUCAUAACCCGAAGGUCAUAGGUUCGAAUCCUGUCCCCGCUA